rnacentral:rRNA from 1 species
GGUUUAGUGGCGGACGGGUGAGUAGCACGUGAGCAACCUACCUUUCAGAGGGGGAUAACAGUUGGAAACGACUGCUAAUACCGCAUAACGUUGUAAAAGGGCAUCCAUUUACAACCAAAAGAGAAAUCUGCUGAAAGAUGGGCUCGCGGCCGAUUAGAUAGUAGGCGGGGUAACGGCCCACCUAGUCAACGAUCGGUAGCCGGACUGAGAGGUUGAACGGCCACAUUGGGACUGAGACACGGCCCAGACUCCUACGGAAGGCAGCAG